AUGAACGCUGGCGGCGUGCCUAAUACAUGCAAGUCGAGCGAACAGACGAGGAGCUUGCUCCUCUGACGUUAGCGGCGGACGGGUGAGUAACACGUGGAUAACCUACCUAUAAGACUGGGAUAACUUCGGGAAACCGGAGCUAAUACCGGAUAAUAUAUUGAACCGCUUGGUUCAAUAGUGAAAGACGGUUUUGCUGUCACUUAUAGAUGGAUCCGCGCCGCAUUAGCUAGUUGGUAAGGUAACGGCUUACCAAGGCAACGAUGCGUAGCCGACCUGAGAGGGUGAUCGGCCACACUGGAACUGAGACACGGUCCAGACUCCUACGGGAGGCAGCAGUAGGGAAUCUUCCGCAAUGGGCGAAAGCCUGACGGACCAACGCCGCGUGAGUGAUGAAGGUCUUCGGAUCGUAAAACUCUGUUAUUAGGGAAGAACAAAUGUGUAAGUAACUAUGCACGUCUUGACGGUACCUAAUCAGAAAGCCACGGCUAACUACGUG
rnacentral:rRNA from 1 species